rnacentral:rRNA from 1 species
CCUACGGGUGGCAGUAGUGGGGAAUAUUGGACAAUGGGGGCAACCCUGAUCCAGCCAUGCCGCGUGUGUGAAGAAGGCCCUCGGGUUGUAAAGCACUUUCAGUGAGGAAGAACGCCUGGUGGUUAAUACCCAUCAGGAAAGACAUCACUCACAGAAGAAGCACCGGCUAACUCCGUGCCAGCAGCCGCGGUAAUACGGAGGGUGCGAGCGUUAAUCGGAAUUACUGGGCGUAAAGCGCGCGUAGGUGGCUUGAUAAGCCGGUUGUGAAAGCCCCGGGCUCAACCUGGGAACGGCAUCCGGAACUGUCAAGCUAGAGUGCAGGAGAGGAAGGUAGAAUUCCCGGUGUAGCGGUGAAAUGCGUAGAGAUCGGGAGGAAUACCAGUGGCGAAGGCGGCCUUCUGGACUGACACUGACACUGAGGUGCGAAAGCGUGGGUAGCAAACAGGAUUAGAUACCCCUGUAGUC